UUUUUUUUUUUUUUUUUUUUUUUUUUUUUUGUAGAAACAGGGUCUCAUUUUAUUGCCCAGGCUGGUCUUGAACUCCUGGUUUCAAGUGAUCCUCCCGUCUUGGCCUUCCAAAGUAUUGAGAUUACAGAGGUGAGCCACUGCACCUAGCCUGUUUAUUCAAAAAGUUCAUGUAAACAUGGCAUUCCAUUCUGUCAUAUGUCAUUGUUUUCAUAGAAGGGUAAUUUGCCAAGUCAUAUUACCAUUCACCCUCCCUAAGUUAAACCAGCACUCUAGGAAGAUGUCUACAUUUGCCCUUGGGUUUUUAUGCUUCAAUCUCCUCACCCCCAGCCUGUGUACUUGAGGUUAAGAAGUCACGUUAGUCAUUCUUUCAGUGAAGUCCGUUACCUAGUGCUCCUAAAUGAACAGAAUAGGAAAGUUGUCCUUUUCUUAAGGACAACUCCUUCAUGCUCCUCCUUCGAGCUCCUUCAUGCUCGCCUUUUUGUUAUCUUCAUGAUAGGAUCACAUUUGAGAUGAGCAUUAUUGCCUUGAUUAUGUCUUCUGAUCAUCUUAGUGAAUGUAAAAUCCUGACUUAUACUCUAGUAUUUGAAUAUAGGAUAUAAUUCCUAAGACAAAGAAUACUUAGGCAUCCGGAAGUUUCUGAAGCAUUAGGAAAUAGAUUUAUAUCCUGGAUUUUCUUUAUAAAAUGAAUAAAUGUAAGUUCUUGAUGUAGUUAUUUGUAAACAUUUAGAAAAUAGAAAUACAAAGAAAAAAACAAUGGUAAUCCAUCACUCAGACAAAAAUCACUAUUAACAUAUUUUUAGGCAUUUCCUUUCAGAUUUUUUUCUAUUUAAAUACAUGAGUGUGAAUUUCUGUGGGUGUCUAUAGACAUGUCUGUGGAUAUUACAAAAUUGGAAUCAUGUUCUAUAUUCAGGUUUGUAUCCUUAUUUGAUAUUCUGUGCACAUUCUUUGAUGUCAUGAAAUAUUCUUCAGUUGUGCUAAAAAUACUCUCAAUUGUGUGUUCUGUUACUUAUACACUAAAUAAUUCCUACCUUACAGCUGCAUGUGCGGAAGGACUGGAGAACUGUAGGUUGUUGCCCUUGUUAUCAGGAGUUUCAGGUUGUUUUCCUGAAUCUUUGAGCUCCGAGUAGGAGAAGAUGCCUUCAUAGGCAAUGAAUGCUAUGAUUUUACAAAUGUUGUGUAAGUUUAAAAUCUCAGUUUUUCUUUAUUGUGGUAAGUUGUUCAUUCACCAGAUAUUCAGUCAAUUUCUACCAUGUGUCAAGAAAUGUGUGAGCAGUAGAGAUGGAAUAAGACAUAGUCCUAUCCUUAAUGCUUGUGCAGUUGCUGUUGCUUCACCCAGUCUCUGUUGAAAGUAACAAUGUUGCUUGUUAAGACAUAAAUGAAUUUUUUAAGAGGAAAAUCAUUCAUUGUUCUGAUAAGUUUAUAAAGCGCCGCAACUAUAUAUCACUCUCUGAAACAGAGUUCUGAGAAGUCCUAUAGCUAAAAAAGAAAACUAAACAAAAACCCAACUCUAUUCAGCUUUAUUAAAUCAAGCAUUUCCAGAACUUUUCUAAUCACAGAAACCUUUAUCCGAACACAUUGAGAUGUCCCUGAAUUCUCCUAAUGAAUACAGUAAAUUAUUUAGCACCACAAUGUUUUGGGAUGGCUUAGUUCUUGGUUGAAGGUUGAAUUGUUACUGGAAAUAAUCUAUGUGAUGAUAUAAAUUAUCAAGGGACUUUUUUUUCUGAUCUUGAGUUAGUCUCAAAUAAUAGCAUGAGGACUAUCGAUACCAAAGUGCUAUCCUGAGAUUUCAGCACUGCUAGGUAAUUGCAAAGAGGAUUGCAGUGGUGCUUAAGCACGUGUCUGCUUGCAGAUCAUUCAAUUAGUCUUUGCCUGGAACUUCUGAAAAUCUUUAUUUCCAAGUCUUUGACAUCUGUCAUAAGCAUCACUUGAAAUGCUAAAUUAGAGCCACUCUAUCUGAUAAGAUCUAAGUCUCCUUCUCUAAAACUUUUUCUAUUAAAUUUCUCUGAAAUAAAUUCUGAGCAUACAAGGGCUUUCACUGAUAAUGACUCCUUAUCAAAUAUUAAUAUUAUUAUUAAUCUGCUCUUGGCUCCUUUUUGUAACUCUUCUCUCAAGGGCCUUUAUUUGCGGUAUAGGAAAGCGCCAGUAUCUAGUGGCAGCUCCACUGCAUGAAAGCACAUUUUCAUCUCAGCUUAUUCCUUUGAUGUGUGUAUGUUUUCCAGUCGCAUUUAGCAUUUUAGCAUAAUGUUUUGUUGUCAGGCCAUGGGUAAAAAGUAUUUUGAUGUAUAUAAGGCAAAAAAUUAGUAAUUUCUUAGAAUAAUGAUGGGGGUUUUAAAAUGUUAUUCUUGGAAGUCAAUUUGGCAAUAUUUUUCAAUAGUCACAAGAUAUAUAGUGUUUGAUCAAACAAUUUCACUACUAAGAAUGUAUCCAGUGGAUAUCCUCAUAAAAAGAAGCCCUCAUGAUAAUGUAUAACAAUCGUCAUUGCAGCUUUGUCCUCCUACAAGGCAUUCAACAAAUGACUGCUGGUACAUCCAUGCAACUGAAUACCAGUCAGCCAUUAAUAAGUAUAAAUAUAUCUGCAUGGGAAGAUCUUCAGCAUAGACCAGUAUACUGUAUACCAGGAACUGGAAAAAUGAUGCCAAGUGGUUUAUACGGAAUAUCUUCUUAAAAGUAAUAACAGUAACAAAAAGGUAAUACACACAUACAUAUGCAUACGGUGUAUCUGUUUACAUACCUUUUUGUUUGUUUUCUGAAACUCUGCGCAAGAACUCUUGGCUUUGUUUUCCUUGAGGAUAGGGACCAAUUGGCUUGUAAUUUGCUUUUUAUAUUUUUCUGUAUUGUUCGGAAUUUCAAACCAAUUGCAUUUAUUACUCUUUUUGGUCAGUGUGAGGUAUCUGGAUGAUGUGAUUUGGGGUCUUUUUUUUGUAAAUGUCAAAUGAGAUAACACAUGUCAAAAGUCUAGAGCAGUGCUAAUAUUGAUAUUGUUUCAAAGUGGUUUUUAAAAAUCAGUGCUAUGAAGAAAUAAUAAUAAGGGCACCGGGGGAGAUAAAAGGCAUAUCCUAGAAAGUCAGAGGAGUGCACUAGGGAAAAAUAAGAGAAAAAGGGUCUGUUUGGGGGAUGUGGGAAAGGAUGGCUGGUUUUAAUUUUAUUAACUUCACUUUCUUCAAGUUUUGUUCUCUCUGUAAACAUUAUUUGUACUUUUUUGUUUUUAUUCUUUGGCUUCUUUAUUAGAUUAUCUCUCUACUCUGUGCUAUUCCAUUUCCUCCCACUCCCAACUAUUGGUCUGUGUGGUUCUUUGUUGUCCUCUUUUCUGGUAGGGUCACAGUAGGAGCGGGGCUUUGGGUAUCGUUAUCAAAGUCAACAUCAGUGUCUAUCCUGUUCUUAUCACUGACCAGCCACAGGGGUGAUGUCCUCCAACAGCCUAAUAUCUGAACCACCUCAAAUGUGUAUUUCUUCUAGUCAAGUCAACUAAUUCUGACAUUCUCUAUUUUUGUACUAGGAGACAGUGAAUUGCUAGGGUUUUUUUUGUUGUUGUUUGUUUCAAAAAAUAGUAUAAAAUUGCUUAACCAUUGAUAUUAUUGGAAAAUGUAAAGUAUUGCAUGAUAGCAGAAGUAUUGACUUGCAGGAAAUCAUUGCGGUUUACUUAUUGUCUUGGCUAUCUAAUUUAAUUUACCAAGCAUAGCUCCCCUAAUGUGCAGUUGUGCAAUUGAACAGCUGAGGCCCACACAGUUAACCAAAAUGACGAAUUUCUAUCCAACUAAAAUCACAACAAAGAGCUGUAAAAUACACAUUUCCCCUGUGACAUUGUAAGUUCCUUAAUGCUCAAAUGCUUAAUAUCCCACUAUUUCUGUGAUUUUUCCUAUCUGACUAGCUGGCAAACCAAGGAAAGCCAAAAAACUUUGUAGACUGACAUGGAGGAUUAUUGUAAAUAUUUCCCCAUCUAUAAGAGGAAAACUAUUCAACUCUGAUUCUGGUCCCUGUUGGCUUUUCUCUAUCACUAAGUCUAAAGUUGGGGAAUGAAAUUACACACAGAUAAAUAGAUUAUUAUAGAAGUUAUCUUUGACCACUCAAUUAACUUGUAAAGCUCGAUGUCCAUGAGACCACAGCUCCACACGUGAGGCACAGUCAAUUUGGUGAGAGAAUGGGUUUCAUUGGCAUGGAUUCAUUUUCCAAUCUGAUAAAUGAAAGGGUGUGACUAAUUGAUAAAGUGAUGAUAGCCAGUUUUUAAUAUUAGUCAGAAUUUACAAUUGGAAAAGAAAUAUUGUGUUCAACACAUGUUCAGUGUGAGAUUAAAAAUGGCAUAUAGAACCACUAUAUAUAGAUAUAUAUAUACCACUUUUAGUAUAUAUAUAGUAUAUACUAAAAAGCAGUGUGUGUGUGUGUGUGUGUAUAUAUAUAUACACACACACACACCAAAAGUGGUAUAUAUAUAGUGGUCCUAUAUACACUUGUCAUAUAUAUAUGUGUGUAUGUGUGUAUUCAUACACACACAUGCAUGCACACACCACUUUGUAUAUGACCACAAAUAAAUAUUAGAAAGAAUAUUAAAAAGAUAAGUCUGUCUUAGUAUUUCAUUUUAGCCUUAUCUUUUAUUAAUGUAUGGUGUGCAAUAACAAAUCACAAUAACCAGUGUAUAUUGAGUGAUGUAAUAUAUUAUGCUGAAGUUCUUUCAUUAUGCCAUCUCAUUGAUUCUCACCUUAAUGUUGGCUUUAUUUUAAAGCUGCAUUUGAAAGCAAAAUCUGCCACAGUCCACCCAUCUAGUAAAUGACAGAGCUGGGAUUGGAAACCAGGCUAGAAUAUCCUUGUGUAUAAAUCAGUAAUCAUGAUAAACAAGAGAUUGGUCAGGGAAACAUUUUGGUUGGAAUAGAAGGAGAGAGAGUCCAGUAUGUAAAAUAUGAUUUUGCUAUUUUAGUUGAAAAUUGUAGGUUUGUAGAAUAUCGGACACCCAUGCUUAAAUAUGAGUACGGCCUAGUUUUUGCUGUUCCUUUUUCUUUCAGAAAUUUGAUAUUCAAAAUUAAUUCACAAAUGAGAGCUUCUCCACGUUUUUACUUAAUUCAGUUUCUUCACACAUUUGUAGACAAUACACACUUCAAGCAUGUAUGGUGCUAAAUUACAUAUUUUUGUGAAAGUUUUUAGGCUGGGCACGGUGGCUCAUGCCUGUAAUCCCAGCACUUUGGGAGGCCGAGACAGGUGGAUCACCUGAGAUCAGAAGUUCGAGACCAGCCUGACCAAUGUGGAGAAACCCCAUCUCUACUAAAAAUACAAAAUUAACUGGGCGUGGUGGUGCAUGCCUGUAAUCCCAGCUACUUGGGAGGCUGAGGCAGGAGAAUCACUUGAACCCAGGAGGCAGAGGUUGCAGUGAGCCGAGAUAAUGCCGCUGCACUAUAGCCUGGGAGCCUGGGCAACAAGAGCAAAACUCCAUCUCAAAAAAAAAAAAAAAA
rnacentral:lncRNA from 1 species